UACGUAGGAGGCAAGCGUUGUCCGGAUUUACUGGGCGUAAAGCGCGCGCAGGCGGCAGUGCAAGUAAGGUGUGAAAUCUCCCUGCUCAACGGGGAGGGUGCAUUUUAGACUGCACAGCUAGAGGUCGGUAGAGGGGGGUGGAAUUGCUGGUGUAGCGGUGAAAUGCGUAGAGAUCAGCAGGAACACCCGUGGCGAAGGCGGCCCCCUGGGCCGUACCUGACGCUGAGGCGCGAAGGCUAGGGGAGCGAACGGG
rnacentral:rRNA from 1 species